rnacentral:rRNA from 1 species
UACAGAGGUCUCAAGCGUUGUUCGGAUUCAUUGGGCUUAAAGGGUGCGUAGGCGGCGCGGUAAGUCGGGUGUGAAAUCUUGGAGCUUAACUCCGAAACUGCAUUCGAUACUGUCGUGCUUGAGGACUGGAGAGGAGACUGGAAUUUACGGUGUAGCGGUGAAAUGCGUAGAUAUCGUAAGGAAGACCAGUGGCGAAGGCGGGUCUCUGGACAGUUCCUGACGCUGAGGCACGAAGGCCAGGGGAGCAAACGGG